GACGAACGCUGGCGGCGUGCUUAACACAUGCAAGUCGAACGGAAAGGCCCUGCUUUUGUGGGGUGCUCGAGUGGCGAACGGGUGAGUAACACGUGAGUAACCUGCCCUUGACUUUGGGAUAACUUCAGGAAACUGGGGCUAAUACCGGAUAGGAGCUCCUGCUGCAUGGUGGGGGUUGGAAAGUUUCGGCGGUUGGGGAUGGACUCGCGGCUUAUCAGCUUGUUGGUGGGGUAGUGGCUUACCAAGGCUUUGACGGGUAGCCGGCCUGAGAGGGUGACCGGCCACAUUGGGACUGAGAUACGGCCCAGACUCCUACGGGAGGCGCAGUGGGGAAUAUUGCACAAUGGGCGGAAGCCUGAUGCAGCAACGCCGCGUGCGGGAUGACGGCCUUCGGGUUGUAAACCGCUUUCGCCUGUGACGAAGCGUGAGUGACGGUAAUGGGUAAAGAAGCACCGGCUAACUACGUG
rnacentral:rRNA from 1 species